rnacentral:rRNA from 1 species
UACGGGGGGGGCAAGCGUUGUUCGGAAUUACUGGGCGUAAAGGGCGCGUAGGCGGUCUGCUAAGUUGGAUGUGAAAACUCUGGGCUUAACCCAGAGCCUGCAUUCAAUACUGGCAGGCUAGAGUUCUGGAGGGGAUAGCGGAAUUCCUGGUGUAGCGGUGAAAUGCGUAGAUAUCAGGAGGAACACCGGUGGCGAAGGCGGGUCUCUGGGCCGAUACUGACGCUGAGGAGCGAAAGCGUGGGGAGCGAACAGG